AUGUAUUUUUCAGUUUUUGUUGUUAUUCUAUAAAGACAUUUAGAAGAAAAUUAAAGGAUAAACUCGAUAAUAGAGCAUUUAAAUAACAUGUAAUAAAUACAAAAAUCUUCAAUGGAAGGGUGUUAUAUCACAUCAGGUAUGACAUUUCUGCUCAAUUAUUAGAGUAUUAACUGUCACACGAAACAGCUUAACAAGCAACAUCAACAUAACAUUUAAAAGUCAAACACACACAAAAAAAAAAAAAACGAUUCUAGGACUUCAUUCACACUGAUUCAAUUCGAUAAAUCAUUCUGAUGUUUUCGCAAUGUUGACGUAGAAUUUUCUGUUAUUAACUGCCUGUUUUUUUUUAUUGACACUGGUGAAGAUUCGAUGAGAACCUACAGGCCCGAUACUCAAAGAAUAUAGACCGAAUACAGCUGAUCGAUAACAUAUACCAGAGUCUUGCUGCUCACCAAGGACUUUCAAUUGGAAUAAUAAUUAUUCGGUAUAUAUAAUUCCUUAUUCUUUAUUAAUCUGAAGAAAACAUGGGUCGUAAGUUAAAAUUGUAGGUUGCACCAUAGAUGUAUAAACCCACGGCCAUAGCUACAAAUGUAUAUGUUUUUACAUCUAUGGUUGCACAGAUAACCAUUUUUGGUUUGAACAGCAGAAAUUAUGAACACUGAUAUAAAAGGAUGGUUGAAUUUGGUGCAUAGUAAAACUCUGAUUUUCAAGACUAAGAAAUUGGAACGGCAACUGGUUUUGUAAACAUCUAAGCCUGAAAUAAUGAGUAAAAUAGGGGUAAAGGGAAUUGUGAAGUUUUAAUUAUAGGAGUGAAAUAGUUUAUGGUUUUAAAUUAAAAGAUUACAUGUUGUACUAGAAUAUGAUUCUGUUUCAGAAACUAAAUUUAAGUGUCUUUGAUAUAGGAUAUGUAUUGAUUUUAGCGUUGUUUACAUAUCUGUUCGCCCUUCCAGAUCAAAACUAAGCUAUGUGAUAAUGUAACACGCAAGACUUUAAUCUUAAAUCCGGAAGAUAAAGUACUGGUUAACAUCUUAUACAAGAUUCGUAGUAAAUAAGUCAUUAUAGAUCUUGUUAUGAAAUCCAGGUUAACAGGCUUGAUAUCAGAAUGAUGUUUGACUUUACUUUGAAUAUCAUGUGCUGUUAACCCUGCUUUAAAGACUGAUCAUGCUGAACGUUCGUGACUCUAUUGCAAAUAUUGGUAGAUUCGCCAAUAUUUAAAAAGGAUUAUUAACAAUUUUGUCAUUAUUCACUCUGAACCAAUUCUUUAUAAAACAAUACGUUUUUUAUUUAAAGAUUUUUUUUUGUAAAAAAACAAAAGACAAUUUUAAAUCUACAUCUGGCUAAGUAUACGCCUGUUUAUUCAUUUUGGCACGGAGUGUAAAUAACAUUGUACACGCCACUUUAUACACAAUAAAUAACAUUGUACACGCCACUUUAUACACAAUAAACGGAAUUGUUAGAUCCCUUUAAAAUAAAAUAAAAUUGUAUUCAGAAAAAUCCAGAAAAGUGCUUCAGACCGAUGAACUUUAUGAUUUGUUGUUUAUUUUUUAUCAGCUAUAUAUUUUAUACAUAAUGGACGUUCUUCAAGUAUCAACCAGAACAGUAUGAUGUUUCCGGAGAGUACUUACUGUUCAAUAAGUAUUACAACAAAAAAGUGUCAUGAUGUUUGUGUCGUUCAUUUUGAUUAAACAAGCUAAUAAGUUUAAUAUUUAAAGUCAAUUGGUACAAUGACGACUAGAUAU
rnacentral:lncRNA from 1 species